AAUUGUAUCGGAGCCAACUUGUGUGCACCUCAAUUAUUCCGCCAGUACCUGUCCUCUCACCAGCAUAGGUAUAGAGUAACUCUGUCGACAAAGGUUAGAAAGACAAGGGGAAAAGAACUAGCCUUGUUUGUCUUUGUUGGGAUUUGAUCCCUGGUCACCAAGGUUUUCUCCCACCUCAUUGACAGCUGGGUUGCAGUCUUGGGUGCUCAUCACAUCCAGAGUUCUAAUAAAU
rnacentral:misc_RNA from 1 species